AGGUGUGGUGGUGCACGCCUGUAGUCCCAGCACUUAGGACAUGAGUCAGGAGGAUCAUUUGAGUCCAGGAGUUUGGACUGAAUCCAGCCUGAUUGACAUAGUGAGAUCCUCUCUA
rnacentral:sRNA from 1 species